rnacentral:rRNA from 1 species
UCCUACGGGGGGCAGCAGUGGGGAAUAUUCCGCAAUGGGCGAAAGCCUGACGGAGCGACGCCGCGUGGAUGAUGACGGUCUUCGGAUUGUAAAGUCCUGUAGAGGGGGAAGAAGGGUGCAGCAAUGCAUUUGACAGUACUCCUAAAGUAAGCUGCGGCAAACUCUGUGCCAGCAGCCGCGGUAAGACAGAGGUGGCUAGCGUUGUUCGGAUUUAUUGGGCGUAAAGCGCACGCGGGCGGUUUGGUAAGUCAGAGGUGAAAGCCCACGGCUUAACCGUGGCAUUGCCUUUGAUACUGCCUUUCUUGAGUAGAGUAGGGGGAAGCGGAAUUCCGAGUGUAGAGGUGAAAUUCGUAGAUAUUCGGAGGAGCACCGGUGGCGAAGGCGGCUUCCUGGACUCUAACUGACGCUCAUGUGCGAAAGCGUGGGGAGCAAACAGGAUUAGAUACCCCCGUAGUCCU